rnacentral:RNase_P_RNA from 1 species
GUUGGUGGGUAAUUGCGUGUGGCUUAUGCUGCAUGAGGAAAGUCCAUGCUCGCACUAACUGUGAUGUUAGUAGUGUUCGCGCUAGCUGAAAAAAUAAGGCUAGGCAUUCAAUAACUUGAAUGACGGCCAGUGAAAGAUCUAAGGACUUUGUCUAUGAUCUAGUAACUGUUAAGGUGCCACAGUGACGAACCAUCAAAGAAAUGCGAUGGGUGGAACGCGGUAAACCCCACGAGCGGGCAACCCAAACUUUGGUAGGGGCGCUUGACCUAACAAAAAGAAGUGAUGGUCGGGGAAACAGAAAUGUUUGAGAUAGAUGAUUACCACCAAAUAAAAAUUGCCAACUUUUAUUUGGAACAAAACAUGGCUUACAGCU